UUACGGCCGUAUCACAAUGAAAUAUCGGUUCUUGUCCGAUCGCCGAAUUAAAGCUAUGCUGAGCCUGGUGAGUACUUAGACGAGUGAUCGCUUAGAAAUAGCAGGUGCUGUAAG